rnacentral:rRNA from 1 species
UACGUAGGGGGCGAGCGUUGUCCGGAUUUAUUGGGCGUAAAGAGCGUGUAGGCGGUUCGGUAAGUCUGUCGUGAAAUCCUGAGGCUCAACCUCGGGCGUGCGAUGGAUACUGCCGGGCUAGAGGGUGGUAGAGGCGAGUGGAAUUCCCGGUGUAGCGGUGAAAUGCGCAGAUAUCGGGAGGAACACCAGUAGCGAGGGCGGCUCGCUGGGCCACACCUGACGCUGAGACGCGAAAGCUAGGGGAGCGAACAGG